AGCGCAGGCGGUUGGAAUAGUCUGAUGUGAAAGCCCACGGCUUAACCGUGGAAGGUCAUUGGAAACUGUCCAACUUGAAUACAGAAGAGGUAAGUGGAAUUCCAAGUGUAGCGGUGAAAUGCGUAGAUAUUUGGAGGAACACCAGUGGCGAAGGCGACUUACUGGUCUGUAAUUGACGCUGAGGCUCGAAAGCGUGGGUAGCAAACA
rnacentral:rRNA from 2 species